rnacentral:tRNA from 2 species
GCGCUCAUAGUUCAACGGAUAGAACGUAGGCUUGCGGAGCCUGAGAUCCAGGUUCGAUUCCUGGUGAGCGCACCA